UUACGGUCAUAUCACAUCGAAAACCGGUUUCCGUUUCGAUUGCUGAAGUUAAGCAACGUCAAUCAUGGUCAGUACCUAGAUGGGUGACCACCUGCGAAUACCAGGUGCU